UACGUAGGGUGCAAGCGUUGUCCGGAAUUAUUGGGCGUAAAGAGCUCGUAGGCGGUCUGUCACGUCGGCUAUGAAAUCCCGAGGCUCAACCUCGGGUCUGCAGUCGAUACGGGCAAACUAGAGUAUUGCAGGGGAGACUGGAAUUCCUGGUGUAGCGGUGAAAUGCGCAGAUAUCAGGAGGAACACCGGUGGCGAAGGCAGGUCUCUGGGCCACUACUGACGCUGAGACGCGAAAGCGUGGGGAGCGAACAGG
rnacentral:rRNA from 1 species